UCAUGAUAGAUGAACAAGAACAAAAAAAAAAAACGUUGAAGACAAAAAAAAAAACGAAGCUCGGCCAUGGAGCAAUGUUAACCGAGAGGGAGAUUGGAGAAAAAGAAAAAUUUGAGGUGUGAAAUUGUUGUAAUGAUUAGCAAGGUUAAGAAGUCAAGUUGAUUAAGGCUAAAAGAGCGACGAGACGAACGGGUUACGAAUAGCCGCUAACAGGUAUGUAAAGCCUAACCUUUUUUUUGGCAUGACCUUUAUGGAACGGAUAAGUGACGUAUAUGUAUGACUCUAAAGAAAAUUCUAUUCUUAGAGCCACUAGGAUGACCAAUGUCUUUGACUUCCCUAAGUUAUUCCAUAUGGUUUGAUAUCUAUUUAUGAUGUUCGAAGAAUCCUAGUUGGUAUGUUUUCGAAUGUUGUUCGAAAGAUAAUUGAUAUGCCUAAGGUCCUUGAUAUAUAUUUUGAUACGUACAUAUGGUUCUAAAGACUCUAUUUGAUUUGAUCCAUAACGAUAUUUGAAAGUUGUCUAAUAUGAUUAUUACUUGAAUUUCCAAAAGAAAAUGGCUUCUGAAUCGCUUUUAGAAGGUUCUGUACUUCAAAAGCUCAUAACUUUCGUAUACUAAAUCGGAUUGACCCGAAACUUGUUUCUGAGCCUUCAGAUGUCGGUAAAUAUAUUUGUCCAUUGAGUCUUGGAAUUUAUUUAUUUAUAUGCAUAUAGUUUCUCACUACUCUACUCAUGGAUGCCUCAAUGCUUCCUUCACUGAGCCCGGGCCAGGAUAUGUUAUCACGCGUAUUCCACUGCAUUGUUCGCCGUGCCUCGAUGUGAGGGGGCAGGUACACAUGUACAUGGGUUGUGGAGUAUGCUGUGUCAUGUACAUAUAUUCUGAUAUGUGAUGAUAUGAUAUGAUAUGGCCAUCUGAUAUGUUAUGACAUGUGCACAUUCUGAUAUGAUAUGAUAUGUUACGGAGCUAUUCCCUACUCUGGAGUAUGCUGUGUUGUGGCGCCAGUGACGGGGUGGCGACCACGUUCUGUUCACCGAGUCCUAAAACGGGGCCGGAUAUGGCAUAUGAUUGACAUGCAUUAUCUAUGUUUUGUGAGUAAGCAUUUUUGAUAUUCUGGUUAUUACAUUCAGUUUCUGUACUUCCUGUUCCGGUUAUGAUUCUGUUUAUUAUGCUUCCUGUUUUACAUACUCAGUACAUAUUCCGUACUGACCCCCUUUCUUCGGGGGCUGCGUUUCAUGCCCGCAGGUACAGACGUUCGUUCAGGUAACCCGCCAGUGUAGGGUACUUAUUCUACUGUUUGGAGUACUCCUUUUGAUCCGGAGCUCAUAUUUUUGGUACCUAUCUUUUGUGAUACAUGUUUCUGUUUAUCUGAUUAUUUGGGGUACGGCGGGGCCCUGUCCCGCCAUAUAAUUCUGUCAUGGUUUGUAGAGGCCUGUAGACAUAUAUGUGGGUCAUGGGUUAUGUUUGUUCGAAUAUGUUUGUGAUUUGUGCCUUAAGCGGUCCCGUUUGCUAUUAUGGCCAAGACGGCCCAUAUGUUUGUAUAUGUAUGUAUAUCUGGGCGAUGUGUAUUCCGCCA